ensembl:snRNA U6 U6 spliceosomal RNA
GUGCUUACUUUAACAGCACAUGUACUAAAAUUGGAAUGAUACAGAGAAGAUUAUCAUGGCCCCUAUACAAGGAUGAUACGCAAAUUUGUAGAGUGUUCCAUAUUUUU